CUAAACCAACAAAUGCCCUGGAUCUGGGAACAUCAUAGUAGCCUAAGGUUCUACACAGUUAUCUUGAGGCCACCUUCUCCAUGGCAGCAGUGGUCCUACAAAUUGUGUUCUGUCUGGUUGCCUUUCCCCACAACUAUGCUGUAGAAGACAUGGAAGGAACCCAGCAUGAGUUAGCAAUUCUUCUAACAGCAUUAACUCCAGACUGGAUUUGCAGUGUGAUAUCUGGAGCUAGAGGAGCAAGCUGGUACUGCAGAUUUAGGACAUAAUCCAGCUCCCUUUUAAAUCUGUGAGAAUUUUGCCAUGGACUUCAGUGGGAGCAGAUUGGGUCCAUUAAAUGGCGUCUGAAAAUUAA